rnacentral:lncRNA from 1 species
AGAUGUGAAAAAUUGUUAUUGUCCCUCCAUUAACUUCGAUCACUAUUUUUUUUAAUUGUUGCCCCUCCUUUGACCAAAACCACAUGCUUAUCCUGCAUUGCCAUCCCAUAGAUUUAGUUUUCCAGCUUGUUAUAGAAAAAUGUUGCCCAUUCCCGGGACUGGAAGAAGUGAAAAAACAUGUAAAAAAGGGGAAUCAGACUACUUGCAUCUUGAGAUCUGAAC